GCUCUGCAGGAUGACGGCAGGAUGAGAGCCUAAAGGUUCGACGUUCCGGCGAAGCAGGAGCGAACGGCGCCUUGGCGCCGGCCCCGCAGGGGCGAAGCGCGGAGCGCUGAGUAAUCCUGCCGCCCCAGCCA
rnacentral:sRNA from 1 species